rfam:Pan troglodytes isolate Yerkes chimp pedigree #C0471 (Clint) chromosome X, whole genome shotgun sequence.
GCCGGGCAUGGUGGUGGGUGCCUGUAAUCCCAGCUACUUGGGAGGCUGAGGCAGGAGAAUCGCUUGAACCCGGGAGGUGGAGUUUGCAGUGAGCCAUGAUAGCACCACUGCACUCCAGCCUGGGUGACAGAGCGAGACUCUGUCUCAA